rnacentral:rRNA from 1 species
AACGAACGCUGGCGGCAGGCUUAACACAUGCAAGUCGAACGAGAUCUUCGGAUCUAGUGGCAGACGGGUGAGGAACACGUGGGAACAUCCCUUUCAGUUCGGAAUAACGUUGGGAAACUAACGCUAAUACCGGAUACGUCCUUCGGGAGAAAGGUUUAUCGCUGAAAGAUUGGCCCGCGUCUGAUUAGCUAGUUGGUGAGGUAAUGGCUCACCAAGGCUACGAUCAGUAGCGGAUCUGAGAGGAUGAUCAGCCACAUUGGGACUGAGACACGGCCCAAACUCCUACGGGAGGCAGCAGUGGGGAAUAUUGGACAAUGGGCGCAAGCCUGAUCCAGCCAUGCCGCGUGAGUGAUGACGGCCUUCGGGGUGUAAAGCUCUUUUGUCCGGGAAGAUAAUGACUGUACCGGAAGAAUAAGCCCCGGCAAACUUCGUGCCAGCAGCCGCCGUAA